rnacentral:rRNA from 1 species
UACGUAGGUGGCAAGCGUUGUCCGGAAUUAUUGGGCGUAAAGCGCGCGCAGGUGGCUAUGUAAGUCUGAUGUUAAAGCCCGGGGCUCAACCUCGGUUCGCAUUGGAAACUGCGUAGCUUGAGUGCAGGAGAGGAAAGUGGUAUUCCACGUGUAGCGGUGAAAUGCGUAGAGAUGUGGAGGAACACCAGUGGCAAAGGCGACUUUCUGGCCUGUAACUGACACUGAGGCGCGAAAGCGUGGGGAGCAAACAGG